ACAGAAGAUUAUUCUAUAGCUAUACGGUCAAAAACGAAUGAAUUAAUUUGUUUACGCAACAAAAAUAUCACUUUUAAAUUAACAAAUCUUAUAUGAAAAGGUAAAUUUUUGGACUUCUAUGUAUUUUGGACAAUAUUUACGUUGUGCUGUUGAUUUUUUUGCUGAAAUUUGUGGCCAUCAUAUCACUUUAAUUAUAUUCAUCAGAACCCCAAAUAAUGUAUUGAAAAAAAUCGGUAGGAACGACACAAACUAGGGGUGCCCAUCUUGCCCCGGGUGCUCAUCUUGCCCCACAUUCCCCUACUUCGUGUGAAUUAUAACUGAUGUCGUUUUAUUUGCACCGCCUGCACCGUUUUCCCACCGGUGUAGCAAAAGUUGCACCCAAACCGUUAUUUUAUCCCGCAGGUAGCACACCGCUUUUGCACUCGAUCGCAAACGGUGCAGGAAUUUCUACACCCUGAUCGAGCUGGGUGUAGCAGGUAAUGCACUCUUUUUCCCAAUACAUGUAUGGUUCUUAGCUGUCAGUGGCGUUCUUGUUUUGGUCGUUUUUGGUUGGUUUUGUUGUGAAACAAAAGAAGCAAGAUUCAUUAUUUUCGUUUAUUUCCGACUGCGCAGAUAAAAUGGAUUUAUUCCAGAAAGAAUUCUUUCAGAAUGGAAGAAUUACUUUUAGCAUUUAUAAAUGAACAACGCUGCAAUAAAUACAGAUUACAUACAUAUAAUAGUAUGUUUUAUCAGUAUGUAUCUUUAUCCAGAUAUUUUGAUUACAUGUUUACCAGUAUAGGUACACACUUAAUCUCAGAAUUUCAUUUCGGUAAAGUAUACUACAUAAAAAAACAUUUUUUGGACAAUUUUCAGAAAAUUCGACUGAAAAGAACAUUUGCCAACAAAAAGGAAUCAGCAGCAGCUGAAGCUGUAUGUUCCCAAAUGCAUCCUGAAAUCCCUGCUUCUUUAUUUUUCAAAAACAGUUGAUUGGCGAGAAAUCGACAAUGAUUUUUCAUUGGGUUCUAAUGCAAUGAUCGAUUACUCUUUUGCAUUAUUCAAAAAAAAAACUGAUUCACCUUGUGCAUCGUGAGCUAGAUUCAUUGCGCAAAUAUGAACUUUGAUGAAGUUAUUAUCCAGAGAGAGGAUCGAUGACAUCCUUACAGUGUUGAAAUAUGAAAAUUCUGAAUUUUAAAUAAAUUUUAUUGAAUUACGAAAGAUAGAUCAUGGUAUAAAUUCCCAGGGAAAUAAUUUUAAUUUUGACAUUUGUGUACACGGCAUAGUAAUGUGUGGUGAAAACAGCCAGUGCUCUAAGUCCGUUGACAAACUAUCCAAAACACAAAUUAAUCUAAUGUUUACGAAUCCAUUACAACCCAUCAUUAAUAACAGAAACAGCUGUUCUAUCUGUUUGAUUGAUGCUUUCACUAACACCAUCAUAUGUUGUCAUAAUAUUGCACCGAAACCGUUCUAUUUUCCGGUGUCAAUUGUUACACUUGCGCGGUGCACCGUCG